GGCUGGGCUCAGUCAGCAAAGCGCUUGCCUUGUGAGCCUGGGGGCCUGGGUUCGAUUCCCAGCACCCA
rnacentral:tRNA from 1 species